AUGGUCGAGCAUGGGAAAUUCCCUUCGGUCAUGGAGACGAGCUACGAGGUGACACAUCAUAUGGGCCUCCUACAACAAGACGACAAUAAGACGGUCGAGCAAGGGCUAUCCCCUUCGACCAUGGCGAUGAGCAUGAACCUCUUCAAGAACAUGAAGACAACGCUGCAACGGGACUCAAACUCCGAGUCAAGCUAUGAGACCACACAUGAGACCCUCUCUUUGGUCUCGGAGGAGCAUGAUGAUUUGCCACAUCCUAUGGCAUUCAUCUUUAGAGGCGUUAUGGAUGAGGAGGUUGAGCAUGGGACUAUCCCUUCAACCAAAGCGGCUAUUGGAGUUGAGCAUGGAGACAUUUGCACCUACACCUCUCCGACACCCACAUAUGAUGAGAUGCCCCAAUUCCCAUGUGAGGAGAGCCACCCCACCAUGAGUGAUAUGAGUGACUCCACUAUAUGUGACAUUGAUGCAUUUCCUAUGAGAGGUUGA
rnacentral:rRNA from 1 species